rnacentral:rRNA from 1 species
UACGUAGGGUGCGAGCGUUAAUCGGAAUUACUGGGCGUAAAGCGUGCGCAGGCGGUGAUGUAAGACAGUUGUGAAAUCCCCGGGCUCAACCUGGGAACUGCAUCUGUGACUGCAUCGCUGGAGUGCGGCAGAGGGGGAUGGAAUUCCGCGUGUAGCAGUGAAAUGCGUAGAUAUGCGGAGGAACACCGAUGGCGAAGGCGGCCUGCUGGGCAGUUGCUGACACUGAGGCGCGACAGCGUGGGGAGCAAACAGG